AUUAAUAAAAUUUACUGGUACAAGUGCAUUAUUAAUAAUUAGUUUUAUUUAAUACUAUAAUUAGAAGUGUUAUUAAAAGUGGUGUUUUGUUAUUAUAGCUCCUGAUUGUCCUUCGAAUUAUACUUCUGUUAAUAUUCUAAGUAUUCUGAAGAUCCAAUAAAAUAUGAAUCAGAUUCACAAGAUCAUGUAUCUAUAUGGACAAAACAAGCUCGGAAAAGAAUACAGGAAUAUGCUAGACUCUGGAGGGCUCGACAAAUCUUAGAUGCUAUAUCUUUUAUUAAUGAAUUAUUUGUUGAUAGCUCAGAAAUUGAAAUACUGAGUCUCGUUAAUGUCAUUGCAAGAAGAUUGAAAUUUUUAGGUGUCCCAGACACUUUGGAAAAGAAACAAAAUGAUAUUGGCCAUAAUGAGAACAAAUUAUUUCCGUUGAAUCAAAGACACGACGGUAUUUACCAUUGUUGUACAUUUUGUUCGAGUGGUGGGAAAAAAGAUGUUAUCUGUGCUUGCGGAGGAAGAAUGCCUGGUGGAUAUCAUGGAUGUGGACAUGGACAUGUUGGUCACCCUGGUUCUAACCAUUGGUCUUGUUGUGGAUCACUUUUACGAGAUGGACAUUGUUUAAUAACUCGAAGAUAUAAAUACCAGUUUUUACUAUAAUACUUACUGUACAUCCUGUCGAUAUGUGGUUGAAGAUGUUAGCUGCGAGUACUUCUAAUAGAUAAUAUUAUUACAUUAAUUAUUAUUAUCUAUGUUUUAUGUAAAUGUACAAAUACAUAUUAUUUUCAUUAUAAAUUUACAUAUAUACAUAUAUAAUUGUUAUGAAUAACAAUUUGCAAGUACUAAAAGCUAGGACAUUGCAUAACAGUACCUCAAAUGACAGUCUUAUAGUUAACGAUGAUAUUUUUUCAUCCUAUUGUUUAAAUCACAUGACAAUUUAUCAAAUAU